CCAACUAUAAACUGCUCGUUUUCGAAAUCCCCAUCUCUACUUAUUUGAAUAUCAUUUACAUUACAAAUUGUGAAUUCACAUUCGAGUGUCGGGAAUUCUAUAAAAGGAAGCCCUGUGAUUGUAUAAAAUAAAACUGGCAUAUUUCUGGAUAUUUCGUUUUGAGGCAUAUUUUAGAAAAAUCGUAAAAUACCAGUUGUUUUCCAUUUAUUUUUCCUUACAUUUUAAUUAUGCAAUAAAAAUAUUAUUGUAACUAAUGAUUUUAG